CCUACGGGCGGCAGCAGUGAGGAAUAUUGGUCAAUGGACGAGAGUCUGAACCAGCCAAGUAGCGUGAAGGAUGACUGCCCUAUGGGUUGUAAACUUCUUUUAUAUGGGAAUAAAACGUUCCACGUGUGGGAUUUUGUAUGUACCAUAUGAAUAAGGAUCGGCUAACUCCGUGCCAGCAGCCGCGGUAAUACGGAGGAUCCGAGCGUUAUCCGGAUUUAUUGGGUUUAAAGGGAGCGUAGGUGGAUUGUUAAGUCAGUUGUGAAAGUUUGCUGCUCAACCGUAAAAUUGCAGUUGAAACUGGCAGUCUUGAGUACAGUAGAGGUGGGCGGAAUUCGUGGUGUAGCGGUGAAAUGCUUAGAUAUCACGAAGAACUCCGAUUGCGAAGGCAGUUCACUGGACUGCAACUGACACUGAGGCUCGAAAGUGUGGGUAUCAAACAGGAUUAGAUACCCGAGUAGUC
rnacentral:rRNA from 1 species